rnacentral:rRNA from 1 species
AUGGAGCACCAGCGACGGGAGCCGGCGCCGGAGACGGAGGUCACCCUGCGCGAGUUCACCGAGGCCGACGCGGAGGCGCUCUUCGCGUGGGCGUCGGACCCGCGCGUGGUCCUCUUCCAGCGCCGCGAGGCCUACGCGCGCGUCGACGAGGCCCGCCGCUACAUCCGCGACCACGUCCUCCCGCACCCGUGGUACCGCGCCAUCUGCCUCGGCGCCGUGGCGGUGGGAUCCAUCUCCGUCAAGCCCUGCGGCCCCGCGGGGGAGGAGGAGGGCGCGUCGUCGUCGAGGGCGUCCCUGGGCUACCGCGUCGCGCACGGCUACUGGGGCCGCGGCAUCGCGACGCGCGCGGUGGGGAUGGCCGCGGCGGCGGCGUUCGCGGAGUGGCUGUGGCUGGCGCGGCUGGAGGCGGUGGCCGACGUGGAGAACCCGGCGUCGCAGCGGGUGCUGGAGAAGGCCGGGUUCGUGAGGGAGGGCCUGCUCCGGCGCUACGUCGUGCUCAAGGGCCGGCCCAGGGACAUGGUCAUAUCACAAUCAUACUACACUAGCAGAGGCAGGCGGGGAGCGAUGGACCUUGACGACGGCGACGCGCGGCGGCAAAAGGAGGCGGAGGGCCCGGUGGUGUCGCUCCGGCCGCUGGGCCACUGGGGCCGCGGCGUCGCCUCCGCCGCCAUCAGGAUGGUGGUUGGGAGGGUGUUCGAGGAUCUGCCGGGGCUGGGGAGGCUGGAGGCGGUGACGGACGUCGGGAACGCGCGGUCGCAGCGGGCGCUGGAGAAGGCCGGGUUCCACAGGGAAGGGGUGCUGCGCAGCUACAUCGUCCGCCCCGGCGCCGGCGCCGGCGAGGCCGUGGACGCCGCGGUGUACAGCUUCUUGUCGUCCGACCCUCGUCCACCGCUCGCGUGA